UUGAAAAGACUUGCUAUUGCACAAUACUUAAUAUAAUAAUUUUAGAUCCUGAUUUGGACCAACUUGAAAACUGGGCCCAUAAUAAAAAAUCUAAGUACAUUUUUGGAUUCAGCAUAUCAAAGAACCCCAAGAUUUCAAUUUUUGUUGAAAUCAGACUAAGUUUAAUUUUGGACCCUUUGGACUUUAGUGUAGACCAAUUUGAAAACAGGACCAAAAAUGAAGAAUCUACAUACAUAGUUAGAUUUGGUAUAUCAAAGAACCCCAUUUAUUCAAUUUUUGAUGAAAUCAAACAAAGUUUAAUUUUGGAGCCCGAUUUGGACCAACUUGAAAACUGGGCCAAUAAUCAAGAAUCUAAGUACAUUUUAAGAUUCAGCAUAUCAAAGAACCUAACUGAUUCAUUUUUUGUCAAAAUCAAACUAAGUUUAAUUUUGGACCCUUUGGACCUUAAUGUAGACCAAUUUGAAAACGAGACCAAAAGUUAAGAAUCUACAUACACAGUCAUGACAGUUAGAUUCGGCAUAUCAAAGAACCCC
rnacentral:lncRNA from 1 species